rnacentral:rRNA from 1 species
GACGAACGCUGGCGGCGUGCUUAACACAUGCAAGUCGAACGGAAAGGCCCUGCUUUUGUGGGGUGCUCGAGUGGCGAACGGGUGAGUAACACGUGAGUAAGCUGCCCCUGACAUUGGGAUAUCUUCAGGAAACUGGGGGUAAUACCGGAUAGGAGCUCCUGCCGAAUGGUGGGGGUUGGAAAGUUUCGGCGGUUGGGGAUGGACUCGCGGCUUAUCAGCUUGUUGGUGGGGUAGUGGCUUACCAAGGCUUUGAAGGGUAGCCUGCCUGGGAGGGGGACCGGCCACACUAGGCCUGGGAUGCGGCCCGGACCCCUACGGGAGGCAGCAGUGGAGUAGAUUGCACAGUGGGCGGAAGCCUGAUGCAGCCACGCAGCGUGCGGGAUGUCGGGCUUCGGGUUGUAAUCCGCUUUCGCCUGUGACGAGGCGUGAGUGACGGUAAUUGGUAAAGAAGCACCGGCUAACUCCGUG